UAUAAACCUCCAACAACUAAAGAUAUUCCAAUUGACUGGAGGAUUCACUUUAUGCCAGACACGCCUAACCCUGUGGGAAUUCUUAGCUCUAAAGCUGUGGGCGAGCCCCCUAUCAGUCUGUCUGUUGGUGCCUUGUUGACCAUCAAGAGUUGUGUGGAGUCUGUUCGAGAAGAGCUGACUGGAGAAAGGCUGUUCCUACCAGUUGAGGCUCCUUACACUGUUGAGAAAGUUCAACUGGACACUGGCAUCACUCUUGAUCAUCUCAGAGUUUAGUUUGCGCUGUCCACUUGGAUACUGAACUGUUGACAAUCCAUAAUGUUUACACUGCCUCUAACUUUUGAUCAAGCUGAUUUGUUUGUUGUUGUUUUUUUAUAUAUAUCUUCAACAUUUACAGAUGUAUCAAUGUAUUUUUCUUUUACAUUAUCUGUGAGAUCUGAUAUAUUUUUUUCUACAAUUUAUCUAAUUUAUUUAUGUGCAUGUUUGAAGAAGGAAACUGCAGAUAAAACUUUAUGAAUUAAUAUUAUUAUAUCUUGCUGGUCUCUGUGUCAGGUAAGACACAUUACCUAGGUCACAUCUAAGCCAGCCUUUAACAUGGUUUGUUUGCUUUUUAAAAUAAUUUCAGUCUAUACCCAUGUUCUUCUGCUUUGAAAGAUAAAUUCUUUUACAUAGCAUGACUUACAAGAUGAAACAUUUUUACAUUUUUUCUUUGAGUUUUCAAAACAUUUGUUUUUCUAAUAUUGUUGUAUUUAUUCUUUGUACUUAUAUUGUCAACAGAACAACAAAAUUUACUUUUUGAAAAGUUUUAUAAUCUCUGAAGUUUAUUUUAUUAUAAGUUCUAGCCUGGUAUUAGGCUAUUUGAGCUUCUACACUGUAACCUUUGAACUAAGGCCCCACACUGCCUAUUCCCUCUACAACAUAGUAGUAUUGCUUCUAUGUUAUAUUUAAGUUCUCUCUGUACAUCACAUAGUUUUAAGAGAAGAGAUGAUGUUUUGAAGAUGCCACAAGUAGCUGUGGAAGAUGACUGCUAAAGCGCUUGGCUUCCGAAUCAGGGGUUCCGGGUUUGAAUCCUAGUGUAGACUAGGAUUUUUAAUCAUGGGAUCUUUAGAGCACAUCUAAGUCCACCCAGCUCUAAUGGGUAUAUAACAUUAGUUGGAGAAAGGAAAGGUUGUUGGUCAUUGUGCUGGCCAUACAACACCCUCGAUAAGUUAGCCACCUAAACAGAUGACCUUUACAUCAUCUGCCCUAUAAAUUGCAAGGUCUGAAAGGGGGAACUUUACUUUAUUACUACUUAUCUAGUAGCUGUAUAUUGACUUGUAAAGAAAACAUUCAAAGUCUUAAUAGUUAAUAUUUUUUUCUUUCUGUAAUUAGAAAAUGUUGAUUAUCUGUGUAUAUUUUAUAGAUUGUAUUAAAGAGUUAUCCUCUAGCUCCGUAAAACGGUGCCUGUCAGUUUUUCUGGUUCAACAGGCUUCAAACUCUAUACAAUUUGUAUUAAAAUAAUAGCUGCUUGUUGUAAACAGGAUGUACUUGUAUGUCAUGUCAUUUGCAAAUAUUUUUUCUAUUACUAGAUCUAAUGAGUAUUUAGUGUAAGAACUAGUUUUUAGCUUAUGAUAACACUGACCUGUAAAAUUCUGUAAACACUGUUACAAUGUGUAACAUAUUUUACUACAUAAAAUUGAUUAACUUUCUAAACAACUAAAUGUUGUUACAGCUAUACUUUUUCAAAAUAAAUAUAAUUGGAUUUCAAUUCA
rnacentral:sRNA from 1 species